rnacentral:rRNA from 1 species
AGCGAACGCUGGCGGCAGGCCUAACACAUGCAAGUCGAACGAACCUUUCGGGGUUAGUGGCGGACGGGUGAGUAACACGUGGGAACGUGCCUUUAGGUUCGGAAUAACUCAGGGAAACUUGUGCUAAUACCGAAUGUGCCCUUCGGGGGAAAGAUUAAUCGCCUUUAGAGCGGCCCGCGUCUGAUUAGCUAGUUGGUUGAGGUAAUGGCUCACCAAGGCGACGAUCAGUAGCUGGUCUGAGAGGAUGAUCAGCCACAUUGGGACUGAGACACGGCCCAAACUCCUACGGGAGGCAGCAGUGGGGAAUCUUGCGCAAUGGGCGAAAGCCUGACGCAGCCAUGCCGGGUGAAUGAUGAAGGUCUUAGGAUUGUAAAAUUCUUUAACCGGGGACGAUAAUGACGGUACCCGAAGAAGAAGCCCCGGCUAACUUCGG